UAUUCUAGUAUCAUGAAGGGGUUUUUACCACGCAAUAAGCACUAAAAAAUUAUUUUAUUGAUGUAAGGAGUGGACAUGAUCAAUUUUAUAAAUUAUGCAGCGAUAAAAACGAAUUGUUACAUGUCGUGUGGAGAAUUAUGGCUGAAAUAAAGUUAGUUUAUGAUAUAAUUAUCUUUCUUUUGCUAUUUCUUGUUGUAACAAAUGUUGAAGCUGCAAGGAGCAGUAGAUGUUUUGAAGAUUCAGAUUGUCCCAAACAUUUGUGCCGAAAACCUAUGAUCGUGAAAUGUAUGUACAAUUCUUUGUGUAAAUGUGUUGGAUCGUGGGUUCAUACAUGAUUUUGUCUGCGGUGUCAUGUAUAAGGGAGUGGAUUAUCUCAGGUGAUAAUUUCACUGCAUAUAAUAAAGUGUGGAUCUCAACCUUUUAAUUUUACCUUUUUAAUUGGGAUAAUGUUAACAUGUUAAGGCACAUGUUAAGGAAGCAAAUAAGGAAAUUACUUUUUGCAAAUUGUGCAUUUUUA